rnacentral:sRNA from 1 species
AUAGCAGGUGGAACCCUAACUAUUGAGGGAGUUUGCAGAUACCUCAGGAUUCGUGACAAUGCCUUUAAAGAUCCAGGAGAGAUGUUCAGCUACUAGGAACUGCUAGCAAGUAUAGCGCGAAUGGCUCCGAGCUCAGACACUCUACAGCUGAGAGUAGACACUUGUGGGAGGAGUCUGCUACUAGUCUUAUCAGCUCUUAAAAACAGAAACUCAUCUGUCCAAGUUCGUGGCAGAAAGGAACGUCCUUGUGAAGACCUUUAUCUGAGCCACUGUACUUCAUUAUCACUGCCAUGCAGUUUACAUGAGCUGUUCUGCAGUUCAAAUUCCAUUUUGUGAAUGGGUUUUUUUUUUUUUUUAAAUAAACUGUAUUUAACUUA